rnacentral:hammerhead_ribozyme from 1 species
AUCCAGCUGACAAGUCCCAAAUAAGACGAAACGAGCGUUCUGCAU